CCCAGAAAAUAACAACAAAAAAAAAAGAGAGAAAUUUUAGGAAAGUGAGUUUCUCAUUCCUCAUACCUUCCUCUCUUUCUCUCUCUGCAUUUUCCAUAGAUCGAUUAAUAUUGGUCAGUACAACCAACACAGUAAAAUAAACCAAAAAGUGAGAAAACAAAAAUGUCUGAGGAAGAGAAAUUGUUGAAGGAGGCAAAGAAAUUGCCUUGGGAAGAUCGAUUGCUACACAAGAACUAGAAGGUCAGGAACGAAGCCAAUAUCGACUUGGCCGCGCUAUGUGAUUCCAUCGCAGAUCCCAAGGACUCUCGCCUUCGCGAUUUCGGUCUGCUUUUCAAGAAGACAGUUGCGGAUUCCAAUGCGUCGGUGCAAGAGAAGGCGCUCGACGCUUUGAUUGCGUUUUUACGAGCUGCUGAUUCCGAUGGCGCUAGGUAAGCCAAGGAAGUAUGCGAUGCAAUUGUGGCAAAAUGCCUCAUUGGAAGGACGAAGACAGUGGAGAAAGCUCAGGUGGCAUUCAUGCUUUGGAUAGAAUUGGAGGCAGUCGACCAGUUUUUGGUGCUUUUUCUCUUUUUCUCUCUAUGUUUAAUUUGAUGUUCUUAAUUUUUGGGUUUGUGAUUUUU